CGCCUGUUUAUCAAAAACAUAGUUUCUAGAAUUUUAAUUAGAAAUGUGUCCUGCUCAAUGUUUUUAAAUAGCUGCGGUAUUUUGACCGUGCAAAGGUAGCAUAAUCAUUUGCUCUAUAAUUGAGGGCUAGUAUGAAUGGAUUGACGAAGCUUUAUCUUUAUUAGGAGAGAAAAAAGAAAUUUCUUUAAAAGUGAAGAAGCUUUUUUUAGUUUAAGGGACAAGAAGACCCUAUUGAGCUUUAUUAUUCUAUUAAAAUUUUUAAAAAGGUAAUUUGGUUGGGGCGACCAAGGAAGAAAGAUCUUCCUUUUUUUAUCUUGAUCCAAUGUUAUUGAUCAAAAGAAUAAGUUACCAUAGGGAUAACAGCGUUAUUUUUUUUGUGAGUUCUUAUCAAAAAAAAAGAUUGCGACCUCGAUGUUGACUUAUUUUAUCCUGCAGGUGUAGCAGCUUUAAAGGUGGGUCUGUUCGACCUUUAAAAUAAUACGUGAUCUG
rnacentral:rRNA from 1 species